rnacentral:rRNA from 1 species
GUGGGGAAUAUUGGACAAUGGGCGCAAGCCUGAUCCAGCCAUACCGCGUGGGUGAAGAAGGCCUUCGGGUUGUAAAGCCCUUUUGUUGGGAAAGAAAUCCUGUCGGUUAAUACCUGGCGGGGAUGACGGUACCCAAAGAAUAAGCACCGGCUAACUUCGUGCCAGCAGCCGCGGUAAUACGAAGGGUGCAAGCGUUACUCGGAAUUACUGGGCGUAAUGCGUGCGUAGGUGGUGGUUUAAGUCCGUUGUGAAAGCCCUGGGCUCAACCUGGGAAUUGCAGUGGAUACUGGAUCACUAGAGUGUGGUAGAGGGAUGCGGAAUUUCUGGUGUAGCAGUGAAAUGCGUAGAGAUCAGAAGGAACAUCCGUGGCGAAGGCGGCAUCCUGGGCCAACACUGACACUGAGGCACGAAAGCGUGGGGAGCAAACAGGAUUAGAAACCCCUGUAGUCC